AUCUGGAAAACACAACAUCUCCUCCCUCAUUCUCUUUUUUUUUCCUCUCUCGAUUUCACAUUCAUCAUGAACAAAACUCUAACAUAAUACGAAAAUACGCGAUAGAAUAAAAAAUACAUUAAUGGUAGAUGCACAAGGAUGAUUAAUCACGCACCAAACAUGCUAAAAAAUGGACAACACUGGAGCUCAAAUUUCAUAUAAAAAGUGUUUGAUCCGGCCUCAAACCGAAGCAUCACAUGAUAUUUGGCAUGGAUUCGAGUUCAGGAAAUCAAUAUGAAGAUCUUUAAGUCAUUAUUUCAUGGAAAUCAAGCCACAAUCAUAAAUUUGAGAAAAUACACAAGAACACGAAGAACAUAGUUGACCUAAAUUUAAAUUAAAUGAUCACCAGCAUGAUUUGGAGCAAACUAUUAUGGGGGAAAGAUUCAGCUCAUGUGUAUCAACACAACCAUAUCAAGAAAUUAUGCAAAAGGUGGAGAAAUAUAUAUGAUUGGAAGUUAAGCUCUUCCGAUGAAAAUGAUGAUUCCAGCGACAAAUCUCCAGAACCGGCCACGUCCAAACUUUCAGUGAUGAGUCUCAAACAACCACACUUAAAAAAGGCUUUGGAAGUUUGUUCAUAAUUCAGAACAACUUCUAAAAGUAUUGAGUAAUGGAAGCUUUAAGGUGGGGGUGAAUUGGUGGAUUUGGAAGUGGUUUGUAUGUCUCGAGCUAGAAUUCCUUUUUCUUUUUUCUCUCUCUGAUUUGAAGUUGCUUAAAUAGGCAAUGAGUGAGCUAGGGUGGUGAGCAUUUGAAAAAUAGAAGACAUUUUGGAGAUGUUAGUUAGAGAAAUUGUGUGAACGGAAAGGUGAAGGAGUGGUGAUUAGUGAGCUAGGGUGGUGAUUGGUGGUUAUUUAAAUGAUGAUGAUUAAUGUGGAAUGACAUGUUAUGAAAACUUGGGAUUUGCUCAUGUGUGGCAUGAAGUAUGAAAUUGUUUCAAGUUUGUUUAUAGAUUACAUUCACACUUUUGAUGAUGAUACUUGCAUGGUGAUGUGAGAAAUCUCAUUUGAAUGAUCAUUAUUAAAGGAUUCAUUUAGCUUACUAAUUUUUGGUCUCUUAUGAUGAAAAAAUUAAUAAAGAUGUAAAAAUAAUGAAUAAAAUAAAUUGAACUUUUUCUAUUUAAUUUUAAUUUUGACUUUGUAAAAUUUGAAAUGAUGAAAAAUGUGUAAAA